AUUGAACGCUGGCGGCAGGCCUAACACAUGCAAGUCGAGCGAGCGGCGGACGGGUGAGUAAUGUAUGGGGACUGCCCGAUAGAGGGGGUUAACUACUGGAAACGGUGGCUAAUACCGCAUACUAUCGGAUAACCCAUAUUGGAUUAGCUAGUAGGUGGGGUAAAGGCUCACCUAGGCGACGAUCUCUAGCUGGUCUGAGAGGAUGAGCAGCAACACUGGGACUGAGACACGGCCCAGACUCCUAGGGAGGCAGCAGUGGGGAAUAUUGGACAAUGGGCGAAAGCCUGAGGCAGCCAUGCCGCUGGUAUGAUGAAGGCCUUAGGGUUGUAAAGUACUUUCAGCGGGGAGGCGUUACCCGCAGAAGAAGCACCGGCUAACUCCGUGCCAGCAGCCGCGGUAAUUC
rnacentral:rRNA from 1 species